rnacentral:rRNA from 1 species
GAUGAACGCUGGCGGCGUGCCUAAUACAUGCAAGUCGAGCGAACAGACGAGGAGCUUGCUCCUCUGACGUUAGCGGCGGACGGGUGAGUAACACGUGGAUAACCUACCUAUAAGACUGGGAUAACUUCGGGAAACCGGAGCUAAUACCGGAUAAUAUAUUGAACCGCAUGGUUCAAUAGUGAAAGACGGUUUUGCUGUCACUUAUAGAUGGAUCCGCGCCGCAUUAGCUAGUUGGUAAGGUAACGGCUUACCAAGGCAACGAUGCGUAGCCGACCUGAGAGGGUGAUCGGCCACACAGGAACUGAGACACGGUCCAGACUCCUACGGGAGGCAGCAGUAGGGAAUCUUCCGCUAUGGGCGAAAGCCUGACGGAGCAACGCCGCGUGAGUGAUGAAGGUCUUCGGAUCGUAAAACUCUGUUAUUAGGGAAGAACAAAUGUGUAAGUAACUAUGCACGUCUUGACGGUACCUAAUCAGAAAGCCACGGCUAACUACGUG